GUAUACCUCUAAAUCUUACU
rnacentral:snRNA from 1 species